rnacentral:lncRNA from 1 species
GUCUAAUAAAAUAAUUAUAAAAUGUAAACUAAUAAUUAUAAUUUUAGUAUAUAAUAUUAUAAUUAGUGAGGUUGUAAUAAUUUUGGAUUAUAGUUAGUUAGGCUGUAAUAGUUUGGGUUUUUUUAGCGGGUUAGGGUUUUUCGCCAAAACGAGAUUUUAAUGGCCAUUCUUUCAUUGAUUAGUCUACUCUUUAUAAUAGUCCAUAUAUAAUUAUAUAUUUUAUCCAUGAUAAUUCUAUGAUUUUUCUUUUAUGUGAUGCAAAUUUAAUAGUUAAAAUAAAUUUAUACAGGG